rnacentral:lncRNA from 1 species
CUUCUGAUCUUGCAUGCGUUCUCUGAAACGCACGUACAGUGGGGAAGGGUCAAUAUUGUUGCGAUAAAAUAAGAAAGACUGUUCCCAAAAAAAUUGUCUUAAUACAAUUUUAGUACAGGCAUUCUAAAUUUUAUUUUUGGUCUGCAACCUUCACAAAUUUUAUUAUUUAUUUGAAUUUUGUGAAGUAGAUUUGUCGCAGAAGUUCUUCGUAUGGUGUGUGGUUCUUGAAUUCGUCUAUUAGAGCAUUUUUCAGCUCCAGCCAGGUGUUGGGUUGCACCAUUUGUGAGAGUCGUUGUGCUUCUUCGGUCAGCUGCACCUCAAUGGCUCCAAACAGUAUUCGUGACUGUCUGGUUUAUUGCGUCGGGUACAGUUCUUGUAUGUACUCAACGCGUUUUUGUGAAGGAGCUCAGCUUCAUGCGUAUGUGGGUGUAGGGCAUUAUGGAUAUGUUACUAUAUGUACGUUUUGGCGUCUGUUCGUCGCAGUAUAAGAAAAUACAUACAGAGCGUUUUUCUGUUUCUGGCGUGUCGUCGCAGUUUCUGCAGAACAUGAACAGACAGAUUAAAAGUAAAAAUUCGCCAGACGCACAAGCUAGGAGGCUGGAAGCUGACCGCCUUAUGACAGAAGCAGAGAUGAGUUUGCUCCAGAGGAAGCCAGCCAUGGAAGAACUGCGUAAGGCGAGCGUGGACGAAUUAGCCAACUUCAAGGAGGUUAUGCAGAUUAUGGAACCGCAUGGAUGGAAGAGUUUGAGCUGAACUGCAAGGGGACGGAUGCGUUUAAGCUCAGGUGCGUGCGACGUUUAAUGAAGGCGGACGCGGACGCAGAAUUGUUUCUGAAAGUAAGCAAAGCUACGUCGUAUGCUGCCUUUAAGAAAGAUUUCCUGGACACAUUCGGCAGGAUUUCCUCAAUAGUAGAGGUAAUAAACACGCUCAAAUCUAUUGUUUAUCUCCCGGGAAAGAUGUCAGUUCUAGGUUAUGUACUGUAAAUGCAAGAAAUUGCGCAACGAGCUCCGAUCGAAGAAGAACAAGUCGUACAGUUCGUGAUCGAAGGGCUAAAAGACGAUUCCGCGGACAUUGCUAUAUUCUAUUCGACCAAAACUAUUGGCGAACUUGUGAAGCAGUCAUACCGUUACGAAAAAAUGCGUAAAAAAUGUUGGAGCGUAGGUUGGCAAAGAAGCUGAUGGGACACAAUAGCUGUAGUGGCGCUGGUAGUUGCAGCUGAACGCAAAUGAUUAAAAUCAGUGAAUGAUAUUAUCGCAUGCGAUCAAAUUGGAUAAACUAUGCUGACAGAAUCACGCUGCAUAAUUUCAGGAAAAGCAACGCUUAGCUUUUAAACCAGCUGGGUGGGUGAAGCUGUCAUUUAUGACAGUUGUCAAAAUAAGCUUUUAGAACAUGCUUUUAGAACUCUUCUGAUCGCAUUUAAACAGCUCGAUCCCAACGAAAAAUUCUUCUAUUCGUAUAUCCAAAAUUCUGAACGUAACCCGUCCUAUAGUGAGUCAAUUUUCGACCAACCACGUGUGUGAAAAAAAUUUAACACCGUGCAGUGAUUUCAGUGAACUUAGAUUUCACCUGGUGCACUGGCGUGCACCCCAUCCACGCCGGUGAAAAAGAAACCAUCAGUAUACGGACAGAAGAAAGUGAUAAUUAUAAACGGAAAUCCCGGAAAGAUCGGUAGGUCCUAUGUGGCAGAGAACAAAGGUUCUGAUAAUAGCCUCUUGGCUAUAUUCUUCCCCACCGCAGGGCUUCGCUACGCUUUCCCCCUACACUCAGCCAGAGCAGCAGCGCCUUGACGUCUUGUCGGAAAUAAGCUGAGGGGUUGGGAAUUUUUUCUUGGGAGCCCGGGGGAGUCCCGGCCCCAGCACCCAGUUGCACUCAUUUUGGAAAAUCUAUCAAAUCUACGUAACAUCUCCGUAAGCUUGCCAUCAACUUGAUGUAACCUUGCCAUAACCUCUGCGCAAACGCCACAGCCUACAGUGUAGAACCGCUAAGAGGGCCAUGAAUAUUUCUUAGGCUGCAAUCGAAGCCUAAAGCACCGUCUUUUUUUAUAAAUUAAAC